rnacentral:lncRNA from 1 species
CCAGAAUAACGGAGAAUAAGAGAAGCCCCACGGUGGGUGUGGACUUCUGAGGAAGGGGUCUGGCUUCUGCUGUCAGAGGUGCUUCCCAGUGAAGGAAGGCAGUGUUGGCCCCGCGAUGGAGGAUGAAGCUGUCCUGGACAGAGGGGCUUCCUUCCUUAAGCAUGUGUGUGAUGAAGAAGAAGUAGAAGG